GUGCGGUCACAAAAAGCAAUGUUUUUGAAGGUUGGCUUUGCCAACGGCCUCGUGAGAGGUGAACAAACGAAUGAACGAGUUUGUGAAUAAAUUUAUGCG
rnacentral:ncRNA from 1 species